rnacentral:rRNA from 1 species
GACAGAGGGUGCAAACGUUGUUCGGAAUUACUGGGCGUAAAGCGCGUGUAGGCGGCCGCGCAAGUCUGGCGUGAAAGCCCCGGGCUCAGCCCGGGAAGGGCGCUCGAAACGGCGCGGCUCGAGUGCCGGAGGGGAGAGUGGAAUUCCUGGUGUAGCGGUGAAAUGCGUAGAUAUCGGUAGGAACACCAGUGGCGAAGGCGGUCUCCUGGGGUUAUCUUGACGCUGAUGCGCGAAAGCUGGGGGAGCGAACGGG